AUGGUUGUAAAGCACUUUAAGCGAGGAGGAGGCUCUUCUGGUUAAUACCCAGAAUGAGUGGACGUUACUCGCAGAAUAAGCACCGGCUAACUCUGUGCCAGCAGCCGCGGUAAUACAGAGGGUGCAAGCGUUAAUCGGAUUUACUGGGCGUAAAGCGCGCGUAGGCGGCCAAUUAAGUCAAAUGUGAAAUCCCCGAGCUUAACUUGGGAAUUGCAUUCGAUACUGGUUGGCUAGAGUGUGGGAGAGGAUGGUAGAAUUCCAGGUGUAGCGGUGAAAUGCGUAGAGAUCUGGAGGAAUACCGAUGGCGAAGGCAGCCAUCUGGCCUAACACUGACGCUGAGGUGCGAAAGCAUGGGGAGCAAACAGGAUUAGAUACCCUGGUAGUCCAUGCCGUAAACGAUGUCUACUAGCCGUUGGGGCCUUUGAGGCUUUAGUGGCGCAGCUAACGCGAUAAGUAGACCGCCUGGGGAGUACGGUCGCAAGACUAAAACUCAAAUGAAUUGACGGGGGCCCGCACAAGCGGUGGAGCAUGUGGUUUAAUUCGAUGCAACGCGAAGAACCUUACCUGGCCUUGACAUAGUAGAAACUUUCCAGAGAUGGAUUGGUGCCUUCGGGAAUCUACAUACAGGUGCUGCAUGGCUGUCGUCAGCUCGUGUCGUGAGAUGUUGGGUUAAGUCCCGCAACGAGCGCAACCCUUUUCCUUACUUGCCAGCAUUUCGGAUGGGAACUUUAAGGAUACUGCCAGUGACAAACUGGAGGAAGGCGGGGACGACGUCAAGUCAUCAUGGCCCUUACGGCCAGGGCUACACACGUGCUACAAUGGUCGGUACAAAGGGUUGCUACCUAGCGAUAGGAUGCUAAUCUCAAAAAGCCGAUCGUAGUCCGGAUUGGAGUCUGCAACUCGACUCCAUGAAGUCGGAAUCGCUAGUAAUCGCGGAUCA
rnacentral:rRNA from 1 species